UACGUGAGGGGCGAACGUUGUUCGGUGUCACUGGGCUUAAAGGGUGCGUAGGUGGUUCUGUAAGUAAGGUGUGAAAUCCCUCGGCUUACCCGGGGAAUUGCAUUUUAUACUGCAGGACUUGAGGACCAGAGGGGAAAAGGGAACUCCAGGUGUAGCGGUGAAAUGCGUAGAUAUCUGGAGGAACACCGGUGGCGAAGGCGGCAUCCUGGACCAACACUGACGCUGAGGAGCGAAAGCCAGGGGAGCAAACGGG
rnacentral:rRNA from 1 species